AUUUUCAACUAACUAUACACGUUGGCAGACACAUCACUUCAUCACUUCCCUGAAGAAGAGAAGCUGCAUGCCGAAUAUUUGCAAAGAGAUUGCUUUGUCCUGAAUUUCACUCUAGAAAUUGCAGAAACCAAGACUUCCACGAUGUCUAUUAAACAGAUGGUAUACGGCUUCAGGAGUCUCGAAUCCCACGGGCGUACGGCUUCAGGAGUCUCGAAUCCCACGGGCGUACGGCUUCAGGAGUCUCGAAUCCCACGGGCGUACGGCUUCAGGAGUCUCGAAUCCCACGGGCGUACGGCUUCAGGAGUCUCGAAUCCCACGGGCGUACGGCUUCAGGAGUCUCGAAUCCCACGGGCGUACGGCUUCAGGAGUCUCGAAUCCCACGGGCGUACGGCUUCAGGAGUCUCGAAUCCCACGGGCGUACGGCUUCAGGAGUCUCGAAUCCCACGGGCGUACGGCUUCAGGAGUCUCGAAUCCCACGGGCGUACGGCUUCAGGAGUCUCGAAUCCCACGGGCGUACGGCUUCAGGAGUCUCGAAUCCCACGGGUGUACGGCUUCAGGAGUCUUGAGGGGCUCCUUUGAGUUGAGAGUUGUGGAUCCAAGUCUCAGAGCACUGAAGUUUUGUGGCAGAGAAGAACUUGUUAUGGUCCCUUCCAAUAGAGUUCAAGGACAGUCUUUCUCUGGUGUCAUUUCCAAAGGACUCAAUCGCUGAGUUUUGGACUCUGAGAAAUCUAGUUGUCAUCUGCUGGUGGGUCAUGAAGGCCCCCCCUUUUUUUCUUUUUCUUUUUCUUUUUCUUUUUUUUUUUGAGACAGAGUCUCACUUGAUCACCCAGGCUAGAGUGCAGUGGCGUGAUCUUGACUCACUGCAACUUCUGCCACCCAGGUUCAAGCAAUUCUCCUGCCUCAGCCUCCCAAGUAGCUGGGAUUACAGGCGCCUGCCACCACACCUGGCUAAUUUUUGUAUUUUUAGUAGAGACGGGAUUUCAUCAUCUUGGCCAGGCUGGUCUUGAACUCCUGACCUCGUGAUCCGCCUGCCUCAGCCUCCCAAAGUGCUGGGAUUAUAGGUGUGAGCCACCGCGCCCGGCCUGCCUUUUUUUUUUUUUUUGUUAACCUAGUGAAAGUAUGCUUUGGCAUAAUGCAUUAAAGCCUUGCACUACUGAAUCAUAGCAGAGUUUAUAAGAGUAGAAGAUACAUGAGGUUCUAUUCUUAGGGGCAUAGGCCUUCCAGUGACUGUUUCUUUUCUUUCUUUCUUUUUUUUUUGAGAUGGAGUCUCGCUCUGUCGCCAGGACUGGAGUGCAGUGACACGAUCCCGGCUCACUGCAACCUCCACCUCCCAGGUUCAAGCAAUUCUCCUUCCUCAGCCUCCCGAGUAGCUGGGACUACAGGCGCGUGCCAUGACACCCAGCUAAUUUUUUAUUUUUAAUAGAGAUGGGGUUGAAACCCCCAUGUUGGCCAGGCUGGUCUCAAACUCCUGACCUCAGGUGUUCUGCCCUCCUCGGCCUCCCAAAGUGCUGGGAUUACAGGCAUGAGCCACCAUGCCCGGCCCAGUGACUGUUUCAUAAGGGGUCAAGUUACAUUUUCCACUGAGAGGGGAAUCUGAUUGCCAUCAAGGCCAAUGGUAAUACUGUUAGCCAAGGCAAUCCAGUCAAUUCACUUAACUUUGCCAGUUUCAGUUCCAAGAUGCCAUUUGUCCUUUCAACCUUUCCAGAAGACUAAAGGUGAUAGCAACAAUGGUAAUGCCAUUGUGUUUGUAACACUUUAUUUUAUUGCUUUAUAACUUUCCGAGUAAAAUUGGUAUCUCUGUC
rnacentral:lncRNA from 1 species